rnacentral:lncRNA from 1 species
UUUUCACCCCAGGAAACCGUGUCUGGCCUUGAUUUAGAGCCUACUUACUCUUACUUCACUCAGAGUUUUAACAAGCUUAGUAGUACUUUGCAGUUCCCAGAGCAUCAGAAUUGCCAUAUAUUAUCCAAAAAGCCUAUUUAAUGUAAAAUGCAAUUUUAUAUUUGGAAAGGGGUAAAAAACUUAUUUUCCUAGGAUAAACUAGAAAAGAAAAAACUUGAAAAAUAUUUCCAGUUUGUGAGGAUUAGACAUCUCUAAAGGACAGGUAGAAACUUUUGCGUUUAUUAAAAUGUUUAAAUAUAAGAAUUAAAAUUUUAUUUAAAUAAUUUUAAAAGGAGGGAGUACAGGUUAAAACUAAGUCACACACCACAUAAUGACGUUUCAGUCAACCACAGACCACAUACGUGCUAGUGGUCCUUCAAUAUUAGCACCAUACAGCCCAGAUGUAUAGUAGGCUACACCAUCUGGGACUGUGUAAGUGUAAUCCACGACGUUCACAUGACACUGAAAUCACCUAGCAAUGCAUUUCUCAGAACGCAUCCCUGUUACUGUUAGGGGACACACGACUGUACUGAGAAACCUUGACCUUGGGCUUGAAGUCAGGGUUUAAAGCUCAGCUCCACCCCUUCCUAGCCAGGUGACUUUAGGCAAAUUAACGUCUUUGAGCCUCAGUUUCCUCAUCUGUAAGAAGGGGCUAAUAAUAGCACUAAUUCAUGAGUCUGCUCUGAGGAUUGAAUGAGACAAUCCAAGAGAAGCAUUUGACACGCAAAGCUCUCGGCAAAGAUGAGCAAACUCAUCAUCUACAACUUUGCAAACUCCUUGAAACCUCGACUCAGAAUGGCCCCCACAUAUCUCAUAUAUAAUAAAUGAUUAAGUUCAGUUUCCCAUUCAUUCAUUCAUUCAAAAAAUAUUUACUACAUAUCUUUUCUGGACCAGGUACCUUUCUGUUCCCUGGGAUAAAGAAGUAAACAAAAUACACAUUAUGUGAAUUUUAAUUCAGAUUACUAAACUAUGAUAGGUCAUUUUUUAAGUGUUCAGAGAAGUUACAUUAAUGGAGAGAAGAGUCACAAGGGAGGGUAUUUUUCAUUUUGAAGACUGCAAGACACACUGGAAUGAGGGUCUCGGGGCAAGAAAGCAAGUGAGGAGAGCAGGGCCCUAAAAUGAGGUCUCUGGCACUCAGACCUGCUGUCUACUGAAGGCCGGUUCUGAAUUCUACCAGGCUCUUUCUUCUGGCCAAAGCCACACUUACUUGAUGCUGUGUAGCUUUCUCGUGACUAUCACCGGAAAGUCAACUUCAAAAUAUUUCCUUGGGAGAAGACCCUCAUCCUGAGAAAAAACACAGUUAUCUUUAUAAUUAUUUAUUCAGUCAUAUAUUCACUGAUCAUCCUCACAGACCAAGUACCAAGGCCCGAGGAGCAAUGGGGUAUUUAAGGAUUUUAAAUCAGGGGAUGAUAUGGUCAGAAAUGCAUUUUCUAAAUUACUUUGGUCUCAGUAUGAGGAACAGAUGGCGCAAAAAAUUAGGAGGUUACUGUGGUCACCUAGGCAAGAAGUAAUGGGCAGCCAGAACUGGGGAAGCGUCCACUGGGAUGGAGUGGGGAGGAGCAGGAGGCACUCUGGACGUAGGAUGUAACAGGAAGCAGCUUGAGACCAAUUAGAGAGAGUCAGGAAAUCAGUGUAGUGGGUAUGGACAAGAAUCUUUUGGAUGAAAUGAAAUAAAAUAGCAAAUAUCAGAAAGCAUCACAUGAGGUGAGGGUAAGUACUAUUUUGUAAUAUAUUUAUUUUUUUCUCUGACAGUGGAGUAUACUGGGGUGGUAAAGGACAGGGACUCUGCAGCCCGGGCGGACAGGGUUCAAAUCCCAGCUCCACCACUUGUUCACUCUGAGGCCUUGGGAAAGUCACUAAACUCCCUGAGCCAAGGCUUCCUCAUUUGAAAAGUAGAGAAAAUGAUACCACCUCGUGGGGUUGUGAGGAUUAAUGAGGAAAUACAGGAGUGAGAGAACAGGGCCUGCACCUAGUAAGCACCAUGUGUGUGCCCUUAUUAUUUAGACAUCAGUACAUAGAUGUGGGUGCUAGAUUGGGAUAUACAUUUAUUUUUUACUGUGAGCUGCAGUAAAAAAAAAAAAACUGUGAAAACCUCACACAUAGAGACACACACACACGGCCCUGCUUCCCCCUUCUGCUUCCCUAGCUGGGUGGUACUAUCCCCUCCUCCCCACAGUCACUCACUGGUCAUCCUAGAAUUCUCUCCGUCUCCACCCUGUUUGAUCAGUCACUCAGCCCUGCCUGCUGACUAUCCUAGAAGGCAUCCUCUCCUCUUCCGCUCUGUCCCCAACUGCACAGACUCUAACAACAUCCCUUUCUGAUCUCUUUCAACGACACACUUCAUGUUGCCUGCAGCAGCUCUUCCCACCUCUAAGAUUGAGCUAAGAUGCUGGGUGCUCCACAACCUGGCCCACCUGCCCACCUUCUGGCCUAGUACUCUUUUAACAUCCCUGCUCCCAUCUGUGCUUAUAUUCCAGAAAUACAGAACUACUUAUUUAAAAAGAAAGUUGCUGAUAUCCAGAACCUGGUGUGGUGUCAAUAGAGGGUGGGAUAAAGAAAAAGGAGGAGUAAGGAUGGCACCCUUGUUUCUGCCCUGAGCAACUGGGCAGGAGAGAGAACCAUUUAUGUAGACAGUAGUAAGAGAUGGAGAGCAGUAUGGAGGGGCAGCAGACCCCCUGAUGGGACAGCAUGAUGGGAAUGGAAAUCAUGAGCAAGCAUUUCCUAGUAGGAAGGUGACCCCUAAGGGCAAGUGUCAGAAAUGUGAGAUCCAGCUCCCCCACCCUAUGCAGACACUAGUCCUCAGUUAAAGUCCUAGGGGAUCUGGAGGGGUGGGGGAGGAGGAAGGAAGAGAGGGAGGGAGAGAGGGAAGGAUGGGGCAAGAGAAAGAGAGAGAGAAGAGAGGAAGGAAAGGAAGGUACGAGGGAGGCAGUGGCGGAGGGUGGGGGGAGGAAUAAACAAGACAGUUUCCUGACAUCAGAGGAGCUCCCGCCUAUCAGCAGAGUAGGGCUAUGUAAUCUAUUUGAAGAUCCGUGGAGGACGUGUUUAGAGCAUGUGUGGAAAUCGCACCUCCCACCUGGCGUGGUUCCCUGGCUGCACCAGCAGAGGCUUAGCUGCGAGUCAAGGCCUUCUGCUGCCACUGCUACAUGAACUUGAUCUGUAUGAUCUCAGGGGCCCAGGACUGGAGCGUUGAAGACUCCCAUCUUCGGGCAGUGGGCAAGAAUAGGGCACGGGAGAGCCGGUAUUGUCACAAACAAAGAAUAAGGAGUGAGUGAAACCCAUUAAGGGGUUUCCUGACUUUCUCUAGGAAAUUCUACAAGACCUUUCAAGAACUUUUACUCACAGGGUAUGGAAAGUUAAAGAUAGUCUAAAAUUCCAGAAGACAAAGAGAGCAAUUAAAAGCAAAUGAAUGACAGAUAGCAUAGAGUCCUACAACUCAAAUGGGUCUUCUGACUUUGUAAAGAGCUUUCCCUGCAGUAGCUCACUUGAUCCUCCCAAUGAUUCUGAAUAAGAGGGCACUGUGGAAGGGAAGCUUCCAAAAGGCACACCUGGAGCUUUUAAGAAACAGACAUCCUCUUUCUCGGCUUUCAGAAAAGGGCAAAAUGGCUGUGGGAAGUGAUACUUCCACUUUUUAGUCUGUGAUUCUCUAGGCCCUUCUGACACUCCACUCCCAAGUAGCUCACACGUCUCAAGGAGGCAGGGGAGACACCCAAGACUGACUAUAAGUACCAGAGGGCAGCCAGGAGCAGCCAGGAGGAAGGGUACCACUUAGUCUCAAAGCAGAUCCAACAUGGCUGACCGUUUCACAGGCCAGCAAAAUUGACAAUCCUUCCCCUAUGUACUUGACCUUUCAGUUUGUAGAAACAGAAUUCAAGAGACACCAAACAACUGAGGCCCCUUAAGAGUUUCACUCACUCCUUAUUCUCUGUUUGGGACAAUACCAGCUCUCCCUUGCCCUAUUCUUGCCCGCUGCCCGAAGAUGGGAGUCUUCAACCCUCCAGUCCUGGGCCCCUGAGAUCAUACAGACCAAACUCAUAUAGUAGUGACAGCAGAAAGCCUUGACUCACAGCUAAUCCUGUGCUGGGGCAGCCAGGGGACCAUCCAAGGUGGGAGGUGCAUGAGACAACAAGACCAACAGACAACAUUUUCCUCACUCUUUUAUAGGAGCACAUAUAUUUCUAAAACAGGGAUUAGCAAACUUUCUGUAAAGAGUCAGAAAUAAGUAUUUUAGCCUGUGAAGGCCAGACGGUCUGUCAUAACUGCUGAACUCCGCGGUCACAGUGCUAAAGCAGCCACAGAGAAUAUGGAAAUAAAUGGGAGUGGCUGCAUCCCAUAAAAUUUGAUUUCUAAAAAUAGGUGGCAGGCUGGAUUUGGCCCAUGCAACCUCGGCUCCAAAAGAGCAAACAUAAUAAUUGUUUUUCAAAAAAGGAGGAACUUUAGAUUUUAAAAAAUCCCUUCAGACCAAUAUGAUUAUCAAACAAAACAAAAAACUUCCACAAAAGACUUUCAGACCCUGUGCUACUCUCCUUCCUCACUACUGCCAGACAGCCUUUUCCUUGGAAGGAGCACGUAAGCCUCUGUGUACCUUGCUCAGAAAUAAAAAUCUCACAUUUAUUAAUUAUUAACUCACUUGCAAGACAGGGAAAAAACCAAACCAUGGGACCAGUCAAAAAGGUGUCAGGCCCAAAGGAGGGAUUUCUCCAGCGGCCCCUGUGAACACUGACACUGCACAUUCGCUUACGCUGCAUUCUCUUCCAGUUCCUUCUGGUACACCAUGGUCCCCGUGUUACACAGGCACAAUCAACCUACAGAAAAGAACCGCUGGAACACCCACAGGGCUGUGUGUAGAGGAAAGGGGAAGGAGUCUGCAGUUCGAUGAGCUGGGCUCCAAUGUUUGUUCCACAUUCCAGUGCCACCAGAUAUCCAAUUUGGGGAAAGACACAAGCUCUCGCAGCCCCACUUUCCCCAUCUGUGUAAAACUCUCCCCUCUCACAGAGAUCUCAUGUUAAUUCGUGAGGCCAUGUAUGUAAAAACACCUCAGAAAUGUUAGUUAUCUUAUCCUAAAUGAAGAAUGCAGAGGCAAACGUUUAAUACUAAGACCAUGUUGAUGCCACCGACUUCUCGCUUGAGUAAGAGAAAGGCUGGGAGCUCUGAUGACUAAAGACCAUCUUAUCAGAAAUGCCUUUAUAAGCUGCCUGAUGCCAUGGACACGAGCAAAAUAUCCUAACAGAGAAAGACAGAAACAAGCUGUCACUCAGCAAUGAGAAAUAAUCCCUGCAAAGCUCUCUGCAGCAGGAGAGCCAAACAGAGCACUUCUGCCCUUCCUCGGGGUCAGCGGAUUAUCCGUGACUUUAUAGGAGAAAUAGCAAAUUUUAAAUUCUCUUCUUUUUUUUUCAGCCGUUUGAACCAAAGUAAGUACAAUCUAUUUAAUGGCAGAAUUAACUAUCCUAAGAAAAAUAAAAUGCACUAUAAUUUUACUUACGAAAGACAAGUAUUUUACAUCAAAACAUCUGAUCUAAAUGUUCCUCUAGGAAGUGUGCCUUUUCAUAGCUAUAGUAAAGGCUACUUAGUUCUGUGGUAAAACUCGAAAUUGCAAGAUCACAUGGAAAAUAAUAUUUUUAGGUCAGGAUAUUGGAUGGAUGAGUGUCGAAGCAAAGAAAGCCACACU